ACUCAAAUGAAUAGACGGGGACUUGCACAAGCGGUGGAUUAUGCGGUUCAAUUCGAUGACAAACGAAAAACCUUACCAAGGCUAGAAAUCCAGACGACGAAUAGCAGAAACGUUAUUCUUUCGCAAGGACGGCUGGACAGGUGAUGCAUGGCCGUCGUCAGUUCGUGAUUUGAAUUGUUCCCUUAAGUGGGGUAACGAACGCAACCCUUGUUGCCUGUUAUAUAUGUCAGGCGAGACUGCCCAGCACUCUGAAGAUAACUUUGUUGUCUGUAGAGUGCUGGGAGGAAGCGAGGAUGACGCCAGGUCAGCAUGUCCCUCUGACGCCUUGGGCCACACGCAUAAUACAAUCGCCGAGACAACGGGUCGCGACGUCGUAAGACUGAGCCAAUCCUUUAAACUCGGCGCCAGUUCGGAUUGAGGGCUGCAACUCGACCUCAUGAAGUUGGAAUCGCUAGUAAUCGCGGGUCAGCUAUACCGCGGUGAAUACGUUCUCAAGUCUUGUACACACCGCCCGU
rnacentral:rRNA from 1 species